GAUGAACGCUGGCGGCGUGCCUAAUACAUGCAAGUCGAGCGAACAGACGAGGAGCUUGCUCCUCUGACGUUAGCGGCGGACGGGUGAGUAACACGUGGAUAACCUACCUAUAAGACUGGGAUAACUUCGGGAAACCGGAGCUAAUACCGGAUAAUAUAUUGUACCGCAUGGUUCAAUAGUGAAAGACGGUUUUGCUGUCACUUAUAGAUGGAUCCGCGCCGCAUUAGCUAGUUGGUAAGGUAACGGCUUACCAAGGCAACGAUGCGUAGCCGACCUGAGAGGGUGAUCGGCCACACUGGAACUGAGACGCGGUCCAGACUCCUACGGGAGGCAGCAGUAGGGAAUCUUCCGCAAUGGGCGAAAGCCUGACGGAGCAACGCCGCGUGAGUGAUGAAGGUCUUCGGAUCGUAAAACUCUGUUAUUAGGGAAGAACAAAUGUGUAAGUAACUAUGCACGUCUUGACGGUACCUAAUCAGAAAGCCACGGCUAACUACGUG
rnacentral:rRNA from 1 species